rnacentral:pre_miRNA from 1 species
CAAGUACUUCCUCUGUCCCAAAUUUCUUGUCUUAGAUUUGUCUAGAUACGGAUGUAUCUAAUACUAAAAUGUGACUUGAUACAUCCGUAUCUAGACAAAUCUAAGACAAGAAUUUUGGGACAGAGGGAGUACUUU